GGCCGCGUGGCCUAAUGGCUAAGGCGCUAGAUUUCGGCUCACCGAUUUCCUUUCUCUAGAGAUUCCAGGUUCGACUCCUGGCGUGGUCG
rnacentral:tRNA from 1 species